UAUGACCUUAUUGUGUUGAAAGUGCCGUAAAACUCUUGCUAAAACUAAAACUGUAAAACUAAAUUGUGUGUGUGGAACAACUCUGAUAGAUUGACAGUCAGUGCGGUGUGUGUGUGUGUGUGUACCUCUGCUGAUGUAACACGCCUGUGUUUUUGACUGCCUGCUUUGUGUCUAUUACGUGUAGCGGAUGGUCAUUUGUGUACAGGUAUUAAUUGAAUGCGUGCGAUUGUCAUUUGUACUGGUGUUAGCUGAAUGUGUGUGACCGUCUUUUUUAUACGUGUCGGUUAAUUGUAUGUGACAGUUGAUGGUCAUUUGUACAGGUGUUAGCUGAAUGUGUGUGAUGGUUGAUGGUCAUUUGUACAGGUGUUAGCUGAAUGUGUGUGACCGUCUUUUUUAUACGUGUCGGUUAAUUGUAUGUGACAGUUGAUGGUCAUUUGUACAGGUGUUAGCUGAAUGUGUGUGAUGGUUGAUGGUCAUUUGUACAGGUGUUAGCUGAAUGUGUGUGACCGUCUUUUUUAUACGUGUCGGUUAAUUGUAUGUGACAGUUGAUGGUCAUUUGUACAGGUGUUAGCUGAAUGUGUGUGAUGGUUGAUGGUCAUUUGUACAGGUGUUACCUGAAUGUGUGUGAUGGUCAUUUGUACCAGUGUUAGCUGAAUGUGUAUGAUGGUCAUUUUUAUGUGUGUCGGUUAAUUAUGUGUGAUGGUUGAUGGUCAUUUUUAUACGUGGCGGUUAAUUAUGUGUGAUGGUUGAUGGUCAUUUGUACCGGUGUCUGUUAAUUGUGUAUGAUGGUCAUUUGUACAGGUGUUAGCUAAAUGUGUGUGAUGGUCAUUUGUACCGGUGUCUGUUAAUUGUGUAUGAUGGUCUUUUGUACAGGUAUCAGUUAAUUGUGUAUGAUGGUCUUUUGUAUUUGUACAGGUGUUAGGUGAAUGUGUGUCAUGGUCAUUUGUACCGGUGUUAGGUGAAUGUGUGUCAUGGUCAUUUGUACCGGUGUUAGGUGAAUGUGUGUCAUGGUCAUUUGUACCGGUGUUUGCUGAAUGUGUAUACCGAUGUUUCCUUGUCUUGCCACGAUUAUUUUGUUCUUCUCUCCGCUCCGAGCUCGCAGAUUGUUCUAUGCCAAUGUGACCUGUACCGUAUACAAAAUGUCGUUAAAAAAUCUUCUAUAUUA